AAACAUUGAUCCUCACAUCUGCUCUGUCAAACUAAGCAACCUAUAGGUCUAGCCGGGCGCGGUGGCUCACGCCUGUAAUCCCAGCACUUUGGGAGGCCAAGGCGGGCGGAUCACGAGGUCAGGAGAUUGAGACCAUCCUGGCUAACACGGUGAAACCCCGUCUGUACCAAAAGAAUACAAAAAAUUAGCCAGGCAUGGUGGCGAGCUACUCAGGAGGCUGAAGCAGGAGAAUGGCGUGCACCCGGGAGGCGGAGCUUGCAGUGAGCCGAGAUCCCACCACUGCACUUCAACCUGGGCAACAGAGCGAGACUCUGUCUCAAAAAAG
rnacentral:lncRNA from 1 species